ACAGAUUAGCAAACUGCAGGGUGG
rnacentral:piRNA from 1 species